rnacentral:rRNA from 1 species
GAUGAACGCUGGCGGCGUGCCUAAUACAUGCAAGUCGAGCGAACGGACGAGAAGCUUGCUUCUCUGAUGUUAGCGGCGGACGGGUGAGUAACACGUGGAUAACCUACCUAUAAGACUGGGAUAACUUCGGGAAACCGUAGCUAAUACCGGAUAAUAUUUUGAACCGCAUGGUUCAAAAGUGAAAGACGGUCUUGCUGUCACUUAUAGAUGGAUCCCCGCGUCAUUAGCUAGUUGGUAAGGUAACGGCUUACCAAGGCAACGAUGCAUAGCCGACCUGGGAGGGGGAUCGGCCACACUGGAACUGGGACACGGUCCAGACUCCUACGGGAGGCAGCAGUAGGGAAUCUUGCGAAAUGGGCGAAAGCCUGACGGAGCAACGCCGCGUGAGUGAUGAAGGUCUUCGGAUCGUAAAACUCUGUUAUUAGGGAAGAACGUAUGUGUAAGUAAAUGUGCACAUCUUGACGGUACCUAAUCAGAAAGCCACGGCUAACUACGUG